UACGAAGGGGGCUAGCGUUGCUCGGAAUUACUGGGCGUAAAGGGCGCGUAGGCGGCACUGUUAGUCAGGCGUGAAAGUCAAGGGCUCAACCCUUGAAUGCCGGCCGAUACUGUCAGGCUAGAGUCCGGAAGAGGCGAGUGGAAUUCCUGGUGUAGCGGUGAAAUGCGCAGAUAUCAGGAGGAACACCAAUGGCGAAGGCAGCACUCUGGGACGUGACUGACGCUGAGACGCGAAAGCGUGGGGAGCAAACAGG
rnacentral:rRNA from 1 species